rnacentral:tRNA from 1 species
GCCCCCGUAGCUCAGUUGGUAGAGCAGGCGCCUCUUAAGCGCAAGGUCGGGGGUUCGAAUCCUCCCGGGGGCA